AAAGGAAUAGACGGGGGCCCGCACAAGCGGUGGAGCAUGUGGUUCAAUUCGAUGCUACGCGAAGAACCUUACCUGGGCUUGACUUCCCCGGAACCUCAUGGAAACAUGGGGGUGCCUUCGGGAGCCGGGAGACAGGUGCUGCAUGGCUGUCGUCAGCUCGUGUCGUGAGAUGUUGGGUUAAGUCCCGCAACGAGCGCAACCCUUGUCCUUAGUUGCCAGCGGGUUAUGCCGGGAACUCUAAGGAGACUGCCGGUAUCAAGCCGGAGGAAGGCGGGGAUGACGUCAAGUCAGCAUGGCCCUUACGCCCAGGGCGACACACGUGCUACAAUGGCCGGUACAACGGGCAGCGAAGCAGCGAUGCCAAGCGAAUCCCUUAAAGCCGGUCUCAGUUCGGAUUGGAGGCUGCAACUCGCCUCCAUGAAGUCGGAAUCGCUAGUAACAGCAGAUCAGCCAUGCUGCUGUGAAUACGUUCCCGGGCCUUGUACACACCGCCCGU
rnacentral:rRNA from 1 species